rnacentral:lncRNA from 1 species
UUUUAUAAAAGGCAAGAGUUCUAGCUUACCAGAAUUCACACAAUCCAGGGCGGCAUAACAAGGACACACACUAUCUCCACUUCAAACCAGCGCACAAAAAAAAUAAUAUUCACAAAUAUUCUUUUGAACCAUGCAGGAGAACUGCACGUAAACUUAAUUUGUAGAGAAGAAAGAUACCAAGCCCAUGUCCGGAAUACAUAACAUAAACCCCAAUGAAAACAGAGCCUAAACAUAAAACACGCAUAACUACCCACAUAAUUCGGCACAUCCUUUCUCUCCUGCCAUCACCCACAACUUUAGAUCAGGGAGAAUGAGCCAACGAAAAAGUCCCCGAGUUGCGACAGCUCUUCCAGCUUGGACGUUUCCACAAAGUCGCGGCAGCCCCAUUCCAGGCAAUCUAACGGCGAGAAGACGAGCUUCGCGGGACCGCAGCUGUCUAGGUUUACCUGGCUCCUUUUCUCUAGGAUGCUGUGAACUUGGCGAUCACCUCCCGAUCCGGAUCCAUGCCUUCUUCGUGGCUGUACCAGCGCACAAACGCUGAGGCGUGCCGUCACAGUCAUCGUCGACCUCGUCUGGGUAGAAUUUGAUCUUCCACUUGGACCUGCCGACUUCGACGUCGGGCCAACUAACGUACUCGCCGACACCCAUGCCAGCGAGCCGCAGGUAAUCGGUCACCUCGAAAUUGAACGUCCGGGUUUGCUCCCAGGCCGUGACACGUCUCCACGUGAUCUCCAGAGAGGUCGAGCUGCUGUCAGGCAUGGCCGGCGGCAGUGGAGAACAACAAGACCGGGGAGUUGAUUUGGUCUCUCUUGAAUGAAUACUACUAAGACAAGAGAACCGAGUUUCCACCCACGUACAUACCGUACGUACCCUAGACUCCUUAUCUUAUAUUGAAAGGAGGGAUUCCAAGAAAAGAGUGAAUCAAGUAGUAGUCCCGAUGGACACAACACUGUACAUAUAUCAGAUGGCAUGGAAUGUGGCCAUGACUAAUGAAGAAAGUGGACUUGGACUACAAUCGGAUGUUGCUUUCCUGAGUAAGACUUGAUUGGAUUUGGUGGACUCCAAUGUCUCAAAAUAAACAACAUAGGCCAUAAAAUUACUUCCUAACUGACAUGCAUAUCAACGUGUUGGCCAACACGCUUAUGCAGCUCCAUCGUUUUUGAUAUGCAGCCACGGU